rnacentral:lncRNA from 1 species
GAAAAUAAUAAGUAUGCAACAAGAUGAUCUACAGAGGGUUAGCAAUAUUUGUUGCAAAAUAAACAGGUUGCAGAUUUAAAACCAUCGACGAAAUCAUCAAAUGUGGUGCUAUAAGUUUCAGAUUAUUCAUCGUGAAGGAAUUAAUUUCAAGAAUUCGCUACGCGCUAUAGAUCUACAUAAACAUUGAGCAGCAAGAGUUUUCGGAGCUUCCUUAAAAGAUGUCCUGAAAGUUGGAAAACUUGGGAAAGUCGAUCGAAGGAUGACAGAACGGUAAGAAUCUGGAAAAGGGAGGAAGAACGAGAAGAUAGUCGGAGGAAGACGAGAAAGGGGAUGGAAGAUGGACGGGACGAGGGUGACUAUGACGCGAGACGUCAACCGAGCUGACGGGGUAGCUUUUCCCGCGCGAUACCAACCGGCGACGACGAGGACGGAGGGAAAGUCAGAAUAACUUGGUAAACUUUAACCUCCAGAGUAUAAAAGUCGGAUGCCUUCUUUUCUAUCUGCUCGCGAGGAUCUUGGUAUCCGGCCUCCAC